AGAAUCUUGUAAUACGAUUUCAAACACCCCUACAUUGGACUAUACCAUUUAUUAACCUUGACGUCCACAGACGUGAACGUCCCUUAUGCCUGCGUCACUCCGAUCAAUGGCUCGUGUCAUCAAGUCCCUGCUCCCGUAUUCAUGCAAACAAAUAGAGACACUGUAUGCAAAUACAUGGGCCAUGGAAAAAACAGACAGAAUAGGAUAUGUGAAGAAAUAACUUUUACCUGCAUGGUGCACAUUGUCUGUAGAGGUCAGAUGUGUGACAUCUCAUCAGCCAGGCUGCAGUUGAGAUAAGUGAGGAAUCAAUACUUAUUGAUUAGGAAAGCUGCCACAAGAAGCUCAUCCCUUUCCCUGCCUGUUUUGCCUCAGCAUCCCAGUAUAGAAAGCAGAUGGCCCUGCUUACCCAGUGGUACUCAGCACACGGGACGUGUUUAGUGGCCCAGACACAACCUCUCCACACGACUCAGCUGUGUCUGACCGCCUGUCCAACAGACUGACAAAUUUAGAUUCUUAUGCAGACACACACAUACUGUGGCACCACUCUCAUGGAAAGAGAUGUCAAGGAAUAAAAAUGAUAUGAUUUUGAGGAAUAUUGUUAAAUACAAUUUAAUCACAGGAUGUAUGAUUAAAAUGUUUUUUUUUGUUUGUUUUUUUUCUAUUUUUCAGUCUUUAGAAAAAAAAUUUUUCAUUAUGGUGAGUGGGUAUAAACCAUUCUUUACAUUUCUGUGUGAUGUGCAGUAAAUGCCCGAGUGUUGAUGUACUACCUUAAUGCUUACUGGACCUCGACGAGGGAGGAAAUGAGCUCAGAUUUCCCACAAACCCAUCACUCCCACUCAUCAAUUCAGAGCCAAUUUACUGCCCCAGCCCUUUUACUGUUGCUGACACUGGUCAUCUUACGAGAAGGCUCAACUAUAUAUAUUUAUGUUUUAGUGUUUGGUGAAGUUUGGAGCCCUAUAUUCAAUUCUCCACAGGAAACAGUGAACUCACUAUACCUGAACAGGUGUGGAGUGUGAGGUAAAAGCCAAAAACUGACUCAGCGCAACAUGCCACGUGCAAUCUGCCACAUAAGCAACUUAAAUAAGCCACUAGUUAGCUUGUGCACCAGGAAAAAGGAGGUUUUAAUUUAAUUAUUUUGUGUUAGUCAGUGAUGAUGUGGUUUGACUUGUAUUUGUUUCACAAAUAUUACUAAACAUGACACAUACCACGGACACUGUGUCACAGAAUUUUAUUAAAACCAUUUAUUAAAACCAUUUGAAACAAACCUUGAUAUGUUUGAGUAGAACUGUGCCGGCAAAUGACGGGAAAACAUUUCCUCAUGGUUUACACAUCAUACUAUUUCAGAUUCUUAGAUAUGCCAUCCAAACCUGUUGGCUGUGUUUAAUUUCAUAUUCCAGUACAUUGACACAUUGUUUGGGAGUUUCACUUGUGACUUGUGAUGCAGAAUGACUGAAAGUCCCUGUUUUGCUUGGGUUGUUUUAUUAACAUGCUGUAAACUGCCCGCCUCAUGAGGUCUCUAAGGACAGAUCGUUUGUGGUCGAACAUUAAAUUCUUGUCCCACAUGUCAACAUAACGUGGUGGGUUGUAUAAAGCGGUGUGGUUUCUAACUGCAUACUUCAUCAAUCAUAGUCAUCUAUCCUUUUAGGAAGUUACUACAGAGUGUGGCAUCAUUAUGUAAACAAAUAAAUAAGACAGAGCACCCACUCAGAACUCUCAGUAGUUUCAAUUUCAGUAGAUAGCUCAUUUACACAGUGCUGAAGGAUGUGGGUCGGGUUGUAAACAAAAAAGAAAACAAACAAACAAAAAAAAACCAAAAGAAAAACAAGAAUUUCUGUGACAGAUAGGGUGUGCUUCAGUGGUUGUGAAUCAUUCAUUUUCUUUUUGAGUUGACUAUGAAUAAACUCCACUGAAGACCAUGAUUAAGCACACAGAGAAUCACAAGAAUCGGCACAGGAGGAAAUGGACAGAGGCAUUUAUUUUCUGUGGAAAUCCAGGAUUUCACAAUAACUUCCUGUGUCUGAGUCAUUAGACUUAACAACAAAUCUAAUGAAGAAAUCCCCAACAGUGUGCGCAACUAAACAACUUUUCAUGUAAUACAAAUAAGGACCUGACUAAAGCCAUAAUGUUACUUUGAUCAUGAACAUGGUGGUGCAGAUCUCGCUGUUUUUGCGUGACCUUGAAUUUUAAAAACUCCAGGCCCAAAAUAGCCCCAAGCAGAGCAGAUGUUCAUACAUAAAUAUGUGUGCUGUGAUGUCAAAGACUGGGUCAUAUGUUUCCUUCCUUUUCUGGAAUAUGUAAUUUAGACUUCUUUUACAUAAUUAAUUACUUUGGAGGUUACUCCAUUUCAACUGGAUAGUGGGAUAUAGACUGUAUUUUAUUUACCUUUUUUUUAAAGGCCAGUUGACAGAGACUGGGUUAUGUUAUGCUCAAAUGCUUGUGUUCAUUUUGCUAAUUCAGCAUGAAAAAGUACUUUUGUUUUCCUACUUUUUUCACUGCACAUAAUGUGAACACAACAUUCUGUGUACAAAGCUUUUUUCUAAUGUGCUGGGUGAGAUCGAAUCACAUCUAUAUUGCAGUGUGUGCACCUCACUAAAAUCCAAUCAUUUCCUUAUUUUCCAUAUUAAUACAUAUAUAUAUAUAUAUAUAUAACAAAAAAGUUGACUUUAUUAUAGCAAACUCCAGAUUCAUUUGGGAAUAUCAGUGUUGUCCUUGAGGAGUUCUUGCUAAAUUAUUCCUGGACGAGAGCCUUUCUCACUGUCGCUCACAUGACCCUUGAUGCCCUGAGAAGAUGCUCAUGACCUGUUUGUCACACUGCUCUGCUUUCCCAUCAGACACAGGAUAUGUGUGUCAACAGGGGAGGACUUCAUGCUGAGACAUGCUGAAUAUUGCAAAGCCAAACAGAUGUUCAGAUGUUGUGGUUGCACUUGUUAUACAGUACAUGUCAUCAGACUCUAUGUAAAAAAAAAAUUUAAAAAAAGAUAAAGUUUCUUUCUGUUCAUAUUGAAUGUAUGUAGUCGUGGUUGGUUUCAUAUCCACAUCUUAAUUAAGAUUGUACAUCACCUCAGACAUUUAUUAUGUCUGCAGUGGAAUAAGGCUUCAUCCACUCCCACAGAGUCAGAUAAUCAUGCCUUUACAUUACAUUACACUAGCACUCGGCCUAAAGUACUUCUCCAAGAACUGAUCUACAAUCUGCUACUUAAGCAUAAAUACACUGCAGGGUGAAGGCACAGGCUUGCACUCAUGAAGAUGAAACCAGGAGGUGCUGCGCAUCACGAUUUGUGAUGUCAGCACAUGCAACGAGCUUUAAUGAGCAGUGUAUAUAGGAGAAUCACACCCCUUUCAGGUUAUUUAUGCAUUAUAUCAAAGUGGAGCUUGACCCGGAUCAAUGUUAAGUAGUCCUUCAUCUUCAUUAAUAAUCUACUCUAUUACUUAAACACCACAGCGGGGUCUUUUGAUCAAUGAUGGCAGCUGCAAUCAAUAGAGAACCACUAUGAUUUAAAGUGCUGUGCAUUUACAGUAGCCUUUUGUAGUGCUUCCUAAGUACAGAUAUCAAUUAAUAAAGCAGUUUAUGAUGCACAGAGAGCUGGAGGGAGGCAUGUUAAUUUCAUUAUGUAUACACAAAGGUCCGUGUCUAAACCAAUAAUGCCUAAAAACAACAUGUAGGUAAGGUUACCAUGAUUAUAUUAGUUUAGAUAUUUAACAGUCUCAUUAAUCUUGAGAGGUUGAGCACAGAUAUAUGAUACUUCAUUCCUGCCUGGUUCUGCUGUUGGUCUUACAGUAUGGCUAGGACUCAUAACCUCAGUCUGGAGCUCUGCAGAAAGUAACACAGUCAACCUUUUCAGUACGUAAGCACUAAUAAACUAUCACACUGAACACUUGUCCAGCUCUGUUUAAUUUACAUUGCAAAAUAAAACCCAGUCAGUCUGGGAAAAAUAACUUCUUUUGCAAUGAGAUGCAAUGCAUUUCCUCUCACAAUCACUACAGUCACAACUGACUCAGGCCACUUACAGCAUCCUCUAAUUACAAAAUAGAGUACCCACUCAUUCAGUUUUAAUGACACAUAUCACUAGUGGAAAUCUCAUAAAACUUGGAAAGAAAAACAUUUGGACUGCACCCAGAAAAAGGCUUUGGAUCCAGUGAGGUCAUGACUGUGGUGAACAGAGAGUCAUUUGUGGGUUGGGUUUUUGUCAGGCUGUGACUAGCAGUGAUUCAGGAAUGUGUGUUUAAUGAUUCAGAGGUGAGUUUUGAGGACUACACCUCCUUUCAGGGUCUUUUUUCCACAAGUUUUCAAAGCCGAGUGAUCCAAAUUCCUAUCAUCUGUAUUGCUACUACUGCAGACAACUGCAGCUACAACUGAUUUAAGUAUUAUACCAUUUUUCCAAUGUUGCCUUUUACCCUCACUGCUGACUUGACUGGCCCUAAUAGCUGUACUGGUUUGCGGGUUGUGCAUGCCAAUCAAAUGAUACUGUGUGUUGCAAUCGGAGAGGCACAGAUGACAUCAUAUUCACAUCAUUGAGCAAUGUGUAAGGGAUGGGAUAAACAUGCAGCCCCAUAGGAAGUUAUUGUGCCCUGUAAUUUGAUUUUUUUCCAGUUAUACUGUACUCUUUAUGUGGACUCAAUAUUGUCCUGCCUGAGGCUCUAUCUGUUAUUUUUAUUUAAUCACAUAAUAACCAAUUUCCCCCCAGUAGUUGUUAGCUGGCAAUAUAAUUAAAUUCCUUCAUUUACAAUCCACUAAUUUCAAAGCACAGUGUGCAGGCUGAAAGAUGGCUCUAUCUGUGCAGGCUUUUGAUGCCAGCAAAUGAGAGGUCUGCACAGAUGCCAAGUGGCUCCAGUCUAAAGAGGAGAGUCCUCCCUCUUACCUAGCACAGACCGGCACGGGGCUACUGCUGAGCUGGCACCAGAACGAAGCCCUCCAACAGCUGCUUCAUAAUGUGCAUCCAUUAAUUACAUUCUGAUGCCUCAAGUCUUGCCUGUGUUGCUGAGCAGAGAACCCUCACCUUGCUGAGCGUGGAGCAAUUAUGUAAGAAUACGUUGAACAAUGUUAACCAGACUCUCUCUUGCACUUUUACAUAUUCAGACCCUGGGUCCCCUUCAGGAGAUGAAUUAAUAUUUUGUGAGUUGAAUUGAGUCUUUGAGUGGCUGGUUGCAUUGUGUUGUUCAGCUAAUUGUGUUUCUUUUAUUCUGUCUACAACAAGGAAGUGGCCUUGUACUUACAAGAAACAGAGAAUAUUAAAAGAUUUCAGUUCCUUAAAAGACCCUUCUGAGUCACUUUUAUAUUUGCAUAACAUUAUGAACAGUGCCUCAGUUCAGUAUAGUGUAGAUUUUGUAGAUUCCAGAGGAAUCAGGUACUGAAAAAAUGAAUAAACAACUGGAACAAAUCUGCAUGGGUGAAGGACUUAAAGGCUCCAGAUCUGUUUGGCUUGUUCUCAAUUUAUUUCGAUUUUUCUAUUACUCAACUAAAAGGUUUAUACACAGCUUGUCCUGUACUAGCUCUAACUUUUGUAGAAAGACAAACAUACUUUGUCACUCUGAUUUAGAGGCGCCCACUUUCACUAAAUGGUAUUGGUUUGCUUGAGUGCUGAUGAUAUACUAUAGUGAAGCAUAUAUCGUUCACCCUGGCAACUGUGGGCUGCAGUUGACAAAUGUCUGUUCCAGCUAAAAGAAGAAAUACAUGAACUGAUCCAUG